GACGGAGGGUGCAAGCGUUGUUCGGAAUUACUGGGCGUAAAGCGCGGGCAGGUGGUCUUUUAAGUCCUUUGUGAAAUCCCGGGGCUCAACUCCGGAUGUGCAUAGGAUACUGGAAGACUGGAGACUGGUAGAGGCGAGCGGAAUUCCUGGUGUAGCGGUGAAAUGCGCAGAUAUCAGGAGGAACACCGGUGGCGAAGGCGGGUCUCUGGGCCGUUCCUGACGCUGAGACGCGAAAGCUAGGGGAGCGAACAGG
rnacentral:rRNA from 1 species